rnacentral:misc_RNA from 1 species
GAAAUGCGAUAAGUAAUGUGAAUUGCAGAAUUCAGUGAAUCAUCGAAUCUUUGAACGCACAUUGCGCCCGUCAGCAUUCUGGCGGGCAUGCCUGUUCGAGCGUCAUUUCAACCCUCAGGACCCCCCUUUCGCGGGGAGGGACCUGGCGUUGGGGAUCGGCCCGCCCCCCGCGGCGGCGUCGUCCCCGAAAUCUAGUGGCGGUCUCGCUGCAGCCUCCCCUGCGUAGUAGUUACAACCUCGCAUCGGAGCGCGGCGCGGCCACGCCGUAAAACCCCCGACUUUCUGAACGUUGACCUCGGAUCAGGUAGGAAUACCCGCUGAACUUAAGC